GGUUAACUAAUCUAGACUUAGGGUUUAGAGUUGAGGGGUGGGUUAGGUUUUUUGGAAUGUGAAAUUUAUGAUUUUAAUAAAUAUAUAAAUGCUUAAAAAAUAUAUAAUUUUUUUAAAAAAUAGUUUCAAACAUAAUUUUCGUUUUUCAAAAAGAAAUUUGAAAAAAAAAUUCAAAAUUUUUUUUUUAUAAAUAAGUUCGAAUUUGAAAAAGUAUAAUUCGAAAACAUAAUUUUUUUUUUUUAUUUGUUUUUUUUUUUAUUUAAAUAAUAAUUUAUUAUAUAUAUAAGCAUAAGCGUCUUUUGCCACUUAAUAAAGAAGGUAUUUUUGAAAAUGUCUCAUUAGUGGUGGUAAAAAUGAAAAGUGGUACCAUGAAAGUGGUAAACAUGUAAUUUCCUCUAUAUAGGGACAAAGUUGGCUUUUUCCCUUCUUUUGACAAGUGGCAGGAGGUUUUUGCGACACGUAUCAUCCAUGUAUUUUUUCAAUUUUAGGUCUUUCUUUCUUUUUGAUUAUUGCAAUUUGGCCAAGUACUUUCUAAUUGUGAACUAUCUAAUCUUUUUGGCACUAAC
rnacentral:lncRNA from 1 species